GGAGAGGUGCCAGAGCGGUUGAAUGGGCUGGUUUCGAAAACCAGUAAGCGGCUUGCCGCUUCGGGAGUUCGAAUCUCCCCCUCUCCG
rnacentral:tRNA from 2 species